UACGUAGGCAGCAAGCGUUGUUCGGAGUUACUGGGCGUAAAGGGUGUGUAGGCGGUUCUCUAAGUUUGGUGUGAAAUCUCCCGGCUCAACUGGGAGGGUGCGCCGAAAACUGGAGGGCUAGAGUACUGGAUGGGAGAGUGGAAUUCCUGGUGUAGCGGUGAAAUGCGUAGAUAUCAGGAGGAACACCUGUGGUGUAGACGGCUCUCUGGACAGUAACUGACGCUGAGACACGAAAGCGUGGGUAGCAAACAGG
rnacentral:rRNA from 1 species